rnacentral:piRNA from 1 species
UUGUUUUCGUAUAAUACAACA